AUAACAGGACCUCUGACUGACGUAUUUUUUGUAUUGAAAAAUGGUUACUUAGCUGUUUUUAAUCUACUAUCUAUGGCGCACUAGACGACUGCUGAUUGCUGCUACACUCACAAGACUCCCGCGGACUCUGUUGCUCCAGGUGUGCUGAGCAGGAAAGCACUUCAUUUCUGCCAAGUGUGCUUCUCGGUACACUAUAUAUGGCGUUGUAAGAGUGAGAGAUGUGGGGGAGAUGGGGAAGGUGUAGGGAUGAAGGCUGACCUGCGCGAGCACCCACCACCACCACCAGGAUGGUGAACACGAGGAGAGCUGCCCAAGCGGUCAUGGCGCCUCGUCUCCAACCCUGUUUCUGAUCUGCCCGUUCUUCACGCUUAUAUACUUGUAACCACUUUCGCUCUUCACCUCCAGCUGCACACUUAAGCUACUAAUCACAGCUUCUUAUUAUGUACUAACAACCUCAAAUGUCUGGUGCGAUAUCAGUUCGAUAAGAGGCUGAUUAACUCAUAAAACUUUUAAUUCCAAUCA